CAUCAUUAUUUAUAUGUGGUACUGAGGAUUGAACCCAGGGCCCCACAUUUGUUAGGCAAGUGGUCUACCGCUGAGUUACAGUCCCAGCCCCUUAAUUGAAUUCUUUUUCUAAUGAGUGUACAUAAGUUUUACAAAAAUGACCCCCAAAAAAGUUUUGUACUUGUUUUUCUAGAACAAGUUUUUUAAGACAAUUUCAGUAACCUCAUUUUAUUUUGUUCAACUUCAGGACACUUGGGACUUAAGUGUGGUGAGGGUUUCUUUAUAGCUUUUUAUAGGUGUUAUGGUUUGCACUUGGCUGCUGAUAUUCUCUACCUUCCUCCCUUCCUGAUUAGCAAAAGAUACAGAUAUUGUGGAUGAAGCCAUCUAUUACUUCAAGGCCAAUGUCUUCUUCAAGAACUAUGAAAUUAAGAAUGAAGCUGAUAGGACCUUGAUAUAUAUCACCCUCUACAUUUCUGAGUGUCUAAAGAAACUCCAAAAGGUAAUUAAACUUGGAUAAUCAUAUUUCCUCUGACUUAGAGCAUUUAUUUAAGAGGAAAAUCUGAAUGUAGUUCUUCGAAUUCAUAAUGUGGUUGACUAUCAUACCCCCCCCAAAAAAAAA